GGGCGGUUAGCUCAGCAGGUUUAGAGCGCCUGCCUUACAAGCAGGAGGUCACUGGUUCGAGUCCAGUACCGCCCACCC
rnacentral:tRNA from 1 species